AACUGCGAGUGAAGCGGGAAAAGCUCAAAUUUAAAAUCUGGUGGUCUUUUGGUCAUCCGAGUUGUAAUUUAGAGAAGCGUCUUCCGCGCCGGACCAUGCACAAGUCUCCUGGAAUGGAGCGUCAUAGAGGGUGAGAAUCCCGUCUUUGGCAUGGACACCCGGGGCUUCUGUGAUGCGCUCUCGAAGAGUCGAGUUGUUUGGGAAUGCAGCUCAAAAUGGGUGGUGAACUCCAUCUAAAGCUAAAUAUUGGCGAGAGACCGAUAGCGAACAAGUACCGUGAGGGAAAGAUGAAAAGCACUUUGGAAAGAGAGUGAAACAGUACGUGAAAUUGUUGAAAGGGAAACGCUUGAAGUCAGUCGCGUUGACCGAGACUCAGCCUUGCCUUGGCUUGGUGUACUUCUCGGCUGACGGGCCAGUAUCAAUUUUGUCCCUCGGAUAAUGGCAAGGGAAAGGUGGCACCUUUACCGGUGUGUUAUAGUCUCUUGUCGCAUGCGAGGGGCGGGAUUGAGGAACUCAGCACGCACCUUUUGGUGUCGGGGCCUU
rnacentral:rRNA from 1 species